GAUGAACGCUAGCGGCAGGCUUAAUACAUGCAAGUCGUGGGGCAGCAUGAAUGUAGCAAUACAUUUGAUGGCGACCGGCAAACGGGUGCGGAACACGUACACAACCUUCCUAUAAGUGGGGAAUAGCCCAGAGAAAUUUGGAUUAAUACCCCGUAACAUAACGAUGUGGCAUCACAUUGUUAUUAUAGCUUCGGCGCUUAUUGAUGGGUGUGCGGCUGAUUAGAUAGUUGGCGGGGUAACGGCCCACCAAGUCUACGAUCAGUAGCUGAUGUGAGAGCAUGAUCAGCCACACGGGCACUGAGACACGGGCCCGACUCCUACGGGAGGCAGCAGUGGGGAAUAUUGGACAAUGGGCGGAAGCCUGAUCCAGCCAUGCCGCGUGUGUGAAGAAGGCCUUAUGGUUGUAAAGCACUUUAAGCGAGGAGGAGGCUACUCUAGUUAAUACCUAGAGAUAGUGGACGUUACUCGCAGAAUAAGCACCGGCUAACUCUGUGCCAGCCGCCGCCGUAACAC
rnacentral:rRNA from 1 species